AUUAUCUUGGACCCUUCGAGUUGUUGGGUAAGAUCCAACCGCAUGAUCCGCCUUUCACCGAAGAUUUACCGCGGUUGAACGCACCCAAUUUUUACUACCAUCAAGAAGACAUCCUCUUUGAAGAAAUCGAGAAGAAAGAAGGAUUAACCUGGUCGGUGCACCGACCCGCAAUCAUAUUCGGGUUUUCGCCUUACAGUUUAAUGAACCUCGUUGGCAGUCUUUGCGUUUACGCGGCCAUUUGCAAAUACGAAGGCAAACCGUUACACUUUCCUGGGAGCAAAGCCGCUUGGAACUGUUACUUUGAAGCUUCGGAUGCGGAUUUGAUUGCGGAGCAACAUAUAUGGGCGGCAGUGGAUCCGUACGCCAAAAACGAAGCCUUUAAUGUGACUAAUGGGGAUGUUUUCAAGUGGAAGCAUUUGUGGAGCGUUUUGGCAGAGCAAUUUGGGAUAGAAGAAUUUGGGUUCGUGGAAGGGGAGAACCGGGGGUUGGAGGAGAUGAUGAAAGGGAAGGAAGGAGUUUGGGAAGAAAUAGUGAAGGAGAACCAGUUGCAGAAGACGAGUUUGCAGGAGGUGGGAAACUUGUGGUUUUUGGAUGUGGUGUUUUUGGCUCCGCUGCAGUUGCCGCUGCUCAGUAUGAAUAAGAGCAAGGAGCAUGGAUUUUUGGGGUUUAGGAAUUCCCGGAAUUCAUUUGUUACUUGGAUUGAUAAGAUGAAGGCUUACAAGAUUGUGCCUUGAUCUCAUUCAAUCUCUUGUUUCAAAUUGUUUCCUUGUUUUUUCAGAUGAAGAAGAAAUUUCUGUUGUUUUACUUCUAAAAUAAGUUCGUAGGGUAAGCUAUUAAUUGGCAUUCAACCGUAAGAUGUCAGAAACAAUUGCUUACCUUCAAAGAGAAGCUUCUGUUGUAUUUGUGAAAAUGCUGUGUGGUUUUCUUUUCCUUUAUUUGUUUAUGAUGCAUUGUUUAUUCUAUUUUGUAGAAUCUUGAAUUAUACUAUUUAUUACUUGUUGAUUAGACAAAGUCUAGGCAAAUUUAUUGCGUAUCAGUUCAAUAUCAUGGUUAAUAGUUUCUGCCUGUGGUAAUGCUGUUAUAUGAUUAGCUUCCGUCAAGUGAUUAUACAUUUUAUAAUCAGCCUUGUUAUUUUCCUGGUUUUAGCUUAUAGUUUUGAAUUACACUUUCAGUUUUAGUCUUAGAUUUUUGGAAGCUUACUUUGUUUGAUUAGUUGCCUUCACUGUAUCUUCGUAGUGGUGCUUGAGAUAUGACCGUGGGGGAUGAUGACUACCAGUUAUGAAAAGGUUUGCAAGUGGUCCAUAUGGUAGACAUUCCCUAGGCGGAUGAGGGGUAAAUUCACAUUGGCUUUUUAACAGCACAAAUGAUUCUGAGCUGAUACCCACCUUAAAGAACUUGCAGAGUUAAUAGGCAGGGAACUAUAUGGUGGUAACUUGUUCACCCAUUUGAGUUACUGUAUACUGAUAAUCUGUUCACCUACCUGUACUUUUCUUAUUUAAGUUUGUUUAAGGACCCUCUCUAACUUGACAACAGAGGAGAGGCUGAUCCAUCCAUUUGUUUCCCAAAUGGUGUGUUGAUUACUUUGUUAUUAUCUGGUGAACCUUGACAGCUACAUUUCGCAAUCAUAUAAUUAAUUUAGCUGUAAAUGAGUUAAAAAGUAGAUAAAAGUAUCCUCGAAACCUUGAUACUAGAAUGUAGGUAGGAUUUUGUCUUUUAUUAUAUGUUGGAUUAAGAAAUAAAUUGGUCAUUUUGUUAACAACUGUCUGGUCAUUUCAUUAGGCACGUCAAUUUUUAAAGGUAAAAAUUGAUAAAAUUUCUAUCAAAAAAUAUUAAUCUGCUAUUUGAUAUUAAGUAUAAGGAUUAAUUUAUCAAAUUUAGGGUAAAAUGUAAUAUGGUUUCUAGUACAAGGAUUUCUAUAGUUCUUUUACAAGUAAAAGUACAAUAAAAGCUUUUGUAGGAGUCUUUAUUUAAAAAAUAGAUAAAUUAAUUCUUGUACAUUAAAAUAAAUGGAUUCUUACAAAAAAAAAUUUAAUCUUUCUAUUGUUAAAAAUUAAUCUAUGUACGUUUUGUGUAAUAAUUUAUUAUUUUGUCUAAUUUUUAUUAGAAGAAAUGAAUGAAAUUUUUAACAGAAAUAAUUAUUAUUAUCUAAUAUAAAAGAAUUAAUUUAUUUAAUUUUAGAGUAUAAAUCACAAAAUAUAAUUUAACUCUUAAUACAGAAAUUUAUGUAAUAAUUUUAUGUUGUGAACUUAAAGAUUCUUGCCCUCAACUCUCAACUCUCAACUCUCAAAUUACUUAUAUAAAAUGGAAUUUUAAUCAAGAUUUAAUAUAAAUAAAUCUCAAGGUUAGGUAAAUAAAAGUGUUUGAACGAAAAUUUAGUGUAAAUAAAUUUCAAAGUAACUACGUAAAAAGGGGUCCAACCAAGACUUAAUGUUAGAUAAGAAUUUAAUUAAGUCAUUGAACAAUACGUCAGCUAUUACUUAUUGGUUUGGGAAAAUACUGCAAAAGUAGCGUAGAUUCCUCCUUUACCCUGUCAUUCAUGAUUCAAUCAGGGAUAACAAGUACAAGAAAAUUUGGUGGAUGCUGCAGCUUCUCCACAAUAACAAGUAAAAGAAACAGGGAGAGGGUUUAAAUUUUUUUUAAGGAUGGAUAUUAAAUUGUAAUUUUAUAGUAGUUAAAUAUGAUUUUAUUUUUGAAUAAAUUAUAUUUUUAUAAUUUUUUAAAAUAUUAAAUUAAAUAUUUAUUAUUUUUAGAGAGCUAAAAUAUAAUUUUACUUUAUUAAUUUGUGAAACCUCCUCACAAGAUGAAAAAAAUCAUUUAGCCCUGGUUUGGAACUUUUUCUUUUUCAGUUUUAAGUACUGAACAUGGCAAGCUCAACAUCCGCUUCAAUUCAUUGGUAUGAGCAAUGACCUCCACAUUUUCCAAGUUAAGAAGUUUCACAAGAUUCAAAUUGACCAAAUUAGAGGGGCCCAUUAAGGGAGGGAUAGGACAGUGUUCCUUCCAAAAUGGUAAGAUCUUUGGCGCAAGAAAAAGGGGCUGAUCCGUAUCAUCUUGACUUAGUUCUGAUUUCUCUAUUUUUUAAGAAUACCGCUUCUCCUACUCAUAUUGAAUAGAACAUGCUGAGGCAAACCUUCUUCAUGUAAAACCUGCUUGAUUUAGAUCGGGAAAAUUGUACGGUUUUAUGAAACCAUGUGUAUAUGGCUCGAAUCCGUAGUCAAUCCUAUUUCCGAUAGGAGCAGUUGACAAUUGAAUCAAACUUUUUCCAUUAUUUUCAUAUCCGUAAUAGUGCGAAAAGAAAGCCUGGCUCCAAGUUGUUCAAGAAUAGUGGCGUUGUUGAGUUUCUCAAUCCUUUUGACUUAGAAUUAGUCAGUUCUAUUUCUUGAUGGGGGAGGGAUAUAACUCAGCGGUAACAACAAAUUGCUUUUGUCUACUCCAAUGAUAUAAAAUUUAGGAUUGAAUUGAGAGAAAAUGUAAAUACCAAAAAUUUAGGUCAAUUUUUCUCAAAUAAUAACUAAACUAUGUAAUUUGAAAAUGUUAAAUUACUAAAUGGAUAAAAUUAAAAUUUACCCUAAUUCAAUGAUAUAAAACUAAUAUCAAUGUCACAUAUUCCUUUUGAUUAUCAUAAUAUUUAUUUUUAUACCUAUUUCACUCUUAUAUUUUAAUAUUUUAGCCACAUCUUAACCUAUAACGAAAGUGAACAGUAGUGUUUGAUUAGCGUAACUCGUCUUGGUUUCUGGCUUUAACUACACUGCCUCUACUGUAACCGAAACCAUACUGUUGAACAACAUCAAUGCCAACCGUAUCGCAUGCAAUUAUAUAUGGCUUUAAAUCUACUUUUAAAAUUUUAUUCAGUAAACAUUCAUGACAUGGCAUUUGAUUAUUAUAAACCCAUUUGAUAAAGCUUAAAUUUGCCUUUUUUGCACAAUUAUGAUAUGUUCAAGAUACGCGCAGAGUUGUGACCAACUUAAAAGGUUUUACAACUACAAUAUUUAAAGCUAUUUAAAGUUCAAAAUAAGCACACCCGACACCUUAAAUUUAUGUUUGUUUCACGUCUUAAUAGAGAAAAUGUUGAAUUAUUUUACUCAUGAACUUUUAGUGAUAAUGUUGAUGUGGUUCUUCUAACAAUGGAUGGAGCUUGAAAUAAUGUUAAGUUUGAAAACUCAAGGUUUGUGCAAAAUUAACGUGAGUAAGGAGAUCAGCAUCCAAAUUUAUUCUCCUAAUUACUUAUCCAACUACACAAAGGGCUGCCUAGAGACUGUUCAUUCAUCCAUCAUCUUACCAUUUAUGUUGCUUAAUCACCGGUGUUGAUGGUGUAAUGGCCUAAAUUCAAAGUUAUCGAAACAAUAGUUUCAUAACCACAAAUCCGAUUUAAAGAGAAAUUUAUUUCAAUAUUUUUACAUGAAAAUUGAUAUGAUAGGAAAAUCGUAUGAAAAUAUUGAUAGAAAAUUUUACCGAUUUAAUGGUUAGUUAGAAAAAGAAAUUAUUAAAGAAAUUGAGUAAAAACAAGGUAUCGAGACUUCUAUCUCGUAAAACCGAUUCGAAAAUAAUUUUAUAAAUAUUUAUGAAAUGUUAUUAAUGUGGUAUUAAAAUUUCGUUAGGAAAUUUUAAUGUUUGGGUAGUCAAUUAAAUGAAAAGGACUAAAUUGUAAUAGGUGUAAAGUUGCUAGAAUGAUUAAAUAGCUUAAGAGUCUAAUGAGAAAGGAUUUAAAAGGAAAUUAGACCCAAAAGUUAUUUGGACUGGACGGCAAUGAUAUAAAAUCAGCAGAAAAAUUGAUAAAUUAAGGGUAAAUUUGGAAUAUUGCAAAAUUAACUAAAUAAAGCUAGGAUUAAAUAGGAAAUAUCUAGAUUUCUCUUCAUUUUUCUUCAAUUCCAGCAGCUAAAAAUGCCAUAAGAGGGUUCUCUAAGCUGGUAUUUCAUAAUUUUUGCACCAAGCGAGCUAAACCUUGCCUUUUUCUUGUAAUUUUUGUGUUUCUAAGACUUUUGCAACUAGGUCCUACUAUUAAAUUCAUUAGUUUUUGAUUUCAUGGAUGAAAUUGAAAGUCACCAUGAUUGAGUUCUGUAAUUUUAUGAUGAAAUGGAAUGAAAUUAAAGCUUUAAUUUGUUUAUGAGAUUAUUUUAUUAGGUAAUUUCAAUAGAAAUUAAUUUUUAGGACCUAAUUGUGGAAAUGUUUGAAAUUAAAGCCUAUUGCUGAAAUUCUGAUUUUUAAGGGUUGUAAACUAGUUUAAAGUGAUAUAAUAAAGUGUUAAUUGAGAAAAAUCAUCUCAAUUGAGAGGCUAAUUGAGUAGGGACAAAAUUGUUAUUUAUUAAAAGCUUAGGGGAAAAAUGGUAAUAAACGGCUUGCACUAACAAUAUUGGACAGCAGCAGUAGACUAACUUUGAAAAAUCACCAUAAAUUGUAGGAAUCGAAUUAGAAGAUGAACAAAACAUGAAAUUAAAUCUUAUUGAGUCUAGUUUCUCAUAGAAUAAACAUGUAAGCAAUGGAUUUGUAAAUUUUGAGAUAUAAUAAAUUUUGUGAGACAAGGUCAGAAUGAAUUCGAGUUCCCCUGUUUUGACUUUGAAAAAUCAUAAAAAAAUGAAUAAAAAUAAUUAGGGGCUUAAAUUUAUAUGUAUAGAAUCCUGAAUGAGUAUAUUUUCAAGAGAAAUAAAUGAGAACAUCAUCCAAAUUCUGUAUGAAGAGAUAAUUAAUUUUUAGUGAAGAAGGGUCAGAACUGUUGGACAGAUGAAAAGGGGUGACUUUAAAGAAUAAACUGUACUUAUUGGCUAAACCAAAAAUUCUGAAAAUUUUAUGGUAAGAAGAUAUGUGAGUCUAGUUUCAGAGAAAAUUAUCGGAUCCUAAUUUGUAGUUCUGCAGCUCAAGAUAAAAAUAAUUUAGUGACUAUGACUCAAGUAGACAGCUUUGAAUGAACUAUAAAUAAUAGUUGAAUUAUAGAGAAUGUUGCAUAUGAACAUGAAAUGUAUUAAAUUGAUAAUUAAAUUUAUUUAUUUAGAUCCAAAAUAUUCAAAUACGAAGCUAGAUCGAGGAAAGGAAAAAGUUCAGGAUUAGUAGAUUUUUUGUUUACAAACAAGUAUCAAGGUAAGUUCGUGUAACUUGAAUUAUAUUCUUAAAUGCUUGAAAUGUAUGUUAUUGAUGUGAAUAUGAUUUGAAUGUUCAUUGUAUGAAAAUUGAUGAAACAUUGAUAUAUUUGAUAAAAAGCGGAAGAAAUCCCUAUUGGAUGGAAGGAAAAUUCGAUGGAUCUCUGAAAAAUAAUUGACGGUAAAAAAGGAUCUAGCCCGAACGGGUGAUCCUAUCCUGAUAUAGCCCUCCCGAAGAAUAUGUGGAAAAUGGAUUUAGCCCGGACGGGUAAUCCGAAUUAGGGUCUGAAUUUAGCCUGGGCUGGUAAUUCAGAUCCAAGCUCAUUAGAGUAAUUGUCGUUGCAGGGGAUUUAGCCUGAACUGGUAAUCCCGACAAUACUCUAUGUGUAACGGCCUAAUUUUCAGUGGUGUCGGAAAUGGUGAUUUGAGAUCACUAAAUCCGACAAAUAAGAUUGAACAAGAUAGUAAUUAAAUAUUUAUGAGUCAAGUAAGAAUUUAGAAGAAUUUGUGAAAUGAUGAAAUUAAUGAAUUAAAAGAAUUUAUUAGGUCAAACGGGUCAAAAAUGAGGUAUUGAGACCUCGAAUUUGAAAAUCAAGCUAUAAAAUAUUUUUAUAAAUAUUUAUAAAGUUUCAUUUAGCUAGUAUUAAAGUUUGGUUGAGAAAUUUUAACGAUUAGGUAGUCAAUUAAAUAAAAAGGACUAAAUUGUAAUAAAAAUAAAUUUUGCUAAAAGGAUUAAAUAGCUCAAGUGUUAAAAGAAGGAAGAUUUAAAGGGAAAUUAAGCCUAAAAGUGAAUAGGCUGGACGGCAAAGGCAAGAAAAUCAGCAGAAAAAUAAGGGAAAUAAGGGCAAAAUUGGAAAUUUUACAACUUUAACAUAUAAAAUAAGAAUAAAAUUGAAGAAUCUAGAGAUCUCUUCAUAUUUUAUCAGCCAAAACGCCAUAGAAGGUCUGGAGAAAGCUGGUUUUUCAUAUUUUACAUCAUGUAAGUUUAAUUCUUUCUUUUUUCUUGAUAAUUUUUAUGUUUUUGUGACUUUUACAACUAGGUCCAUAUGUUUAAUUCAUUAGUUUUUGAUUAUAUGGAUAAUUUUGAAAGUUUCCAUGAAUAAGUGCUGAAAUUUUAUGAUGAUUUAUCAUGGAAUUGAGGUUUUAAUUCUAUUAUAUAAUGAUUUUAUGAAGAGAUUUUCAUAGAAAUCAUUAUUUAGGACCUAAUUGUGAAAGUUAUAAAAUUAGGGUUUUGUGAUGAAACUUUGAAUGUCAAAGGCUGUGAAAUAGUUUAUAAUGUUUAAAUAAAGUGUUAUUUGAGAAGAAUUAGUUCAAUUGAUGAAUAAAUUGAGCAGAGACUAAAUUGUAAAAAUUGAAAAGUUUAGGGUAAUUGUGUAAUUUCGGCAAUUUAAGGGCAUAAAUUGUGAAAUAGAAUAGAAUUGAAAUGGAUGCUAAUGAAGGAAUGAUUUUAUAAUUAUAGAUCAAGAAAACGAACUGAAUCGUGGAAAGGAGAAAAUUCAAGAAUAGUCCCUAAAUUUCUACGACUUUUGCAAAUUAGUCCAGGUAAGUUCAUGUGGCAAAGUUCAAUGUUUUGAUAUGAAAAUCUUAUGAUUGUUAAAGUAUUUUAUUGUUGAUGAAUACUAUCAAUUUGCAUUAACUAAUAAAUAAUGUGUAACUAAAAGUACAAAUUAGUAGGAACAAUGGAUUUGAGUGCUUCUAUUCUGUGACCCUGAUGAAUUGACGAAAAAUAUGUGAUAAGUGCGCCCGUUUAAGACCAUAGCUGGGCUAUGGCAUCGGUGCAAUGUGAUAAUGUGACUCCAUAUAAGACCAUAGCUGGGCUAUGGCAUCGGUAUAAUGUGAUAAUGUGAUUCCGUAUAAGACCAUGUCUGGGAUAUGGCUUCGGUAUGAUAUGUGAACCGUGUAAGACCAUGGCAAGGCUAUGGCUUCGGUGUGUGAUGCGUAACAAUGUGAAAGUCCAUAGUUUACUAUGGCAAUGUGAUAAUGAAGCACUCAAUUCCCUUAUUGUUCCCUAAUUUGACAAUGAAGUAAAUGAGAAAUGGGCCUAAGGGAGUUAAAUUGUGAGUAGCCAUAUGGAAAUUAUUCCAAUGAGUUAUUAAUGAAAUUGUGAUUUGGAGGAUGAAAUAGUUAAACUAAUAGAUAUAUGAUUGUGUACAAUAUUUGAUAUGAUUUGUGUUUUUAUGCCUAUGAGCUUACUAAGCUUCAAUAAGCUUAUUUGUGUGUGUUUGAUAAUUUCUUUUGUAGAUUGAAUUAAAGAGAAGUUGGUAGAUCGGAUCAACACAACAGGGCACACUAUUCAGAUCAAUUCCGGUAGUUUUUGUUUUAUGUUUAAGAUUUAUAUGGCAUGUAUAGAGUUUGAAUGAAUUGAAGUAAAGAUGUUAUAAACUAGUUAACAAUAUUUGUACUAAAACAGUUUUUGGUAAGUAGCAGUAGUUUGACUUUGAAAAUUCACCAUAAAUUGUGGAAAUUGAGUUAAGGGCUGAGAAAAAAAUGAGAUUAAAGCCUAAUUAGUCUAGUUUCAUAUAGAGGAAACGGUGCAUGCAAUUGGAUUUUAUGUUAUGAGAUAUUUAAAUUGUGGUGAGACAGAGUCUGAAUGACUUCGAGUUCCCCUGUUCUGAUUUUAGAAAAUCAUUAAAAAUUUUACAAAAAUAAUUAUGAGUCAUACUGUAUAUGUAUGGAUUCCUCAUUGGGUCUAUUUUUAAGAUAAACAAAUGGCAUGUUUAUUUGAAUUUUGUACAGAGAGAAAUUUGGUUCAUAGUGCAUAGGGGUCAAAGUAGCCAAACCCUGAAAUAGGGGAGGAUUUAACUAAUAAACUGUACUAAUUGGACCAACCAAAAAUUAUAUAAAAAAAUUGGUAAGUAUAUAUAUGAGUAUAAAUUUUGGGAAAAUUUACGAAUUUCGAUUUCGAGUUUUAUAACUCGAGAUAUGAAUUAUUUAGCAACUAUGACGCAGUUGGAGAGCUUGUCUAAAAAGUAUGAUAUAAAUUAUCUGAAUUUGGUUAAGUGCUCAAAUAAGUUUAGUAGUGCCUUGUGCUCGACUUCGGCAACGGUCUCGGGUAAGGUGCGUUACACUAUGAGUUUAUAUUACAGGGGAUUUAGCCUGGACUGGUAAUCCCGCUGCAAGGUUGAGGUUCGCGGGAGUGUGCUCCCUGAAAUGGAAAUGUGCGCACAUGAAUAUGAUUUGACGGACCCGGAAUUGUAAACUAAAAGUGUACCUCUGAAAAAUCCAUCGAAAUUCCGAUAAAUUCAACGGGAUAAAUAUGGAAAAAUAACAAGAAAAUGGAAAUCAUGGUAUUGAUGAACACAUCAAUCAUGGUAUAUAUUAUUGGUACAUGAAAAUUAUUGUACUAACUUAAAUGUUGAGUUUGUAAAUGUUAGGGUAAUAAUGCAUUGAAUGGAUAUAGGAGUGUUUAUUGUAUUGUAUUGAAAAUAUUAGGUAAGUAUAAUUCUUGUUACAUGAGCUUACUAAGCACAAAGUGCUUACCCCAUUUCCUUUUCCUCUGUUUUGUAGUGUUAAGAGCUCGGAGAUCGGAUUUGGUCGGAGACACAUCACACUAUCAACCUUAGGACUUCGGAAUAUAAAGAAACUUUAUUUUGGAAAUUAAUGGCAUGUAUAAGCUAUUAAAGUAAAUGAUUCUAUGAAAUGAAUGUAAGGUCAGCCAAUGGUAUGGCUAACAAAUCUUGGUUUAGUUAUGUGAUAAGGUUAUCUUAUAAAAAUGCAUGAAUCUAUCUUGAAAAUAUGUUGAAUUGGAUUGGUUGAUUUGAAUUGAUCUCGAUAUAAUAUUGCAGGGAAGGUUAGAUAUCUGUAAAGGGAUUAUAUUGAGUUUUUCAAAAAAAAAAAUUAAUUCGUAAACUCCGGUAAUACCUCGUACCCUAUUCCGGCAAUGAAUACGGGUAGGGGGUAUUACAGAUGGUGUUGUGUUCGGCUUUUUUAUUUAAAUAACCCAAAUAAUUUAAUUAAGUACUAAAAUGAUUCAUCUUUUUAAUUAAACAUCAAAAUAAGUUGAAAUCUACAGUAAAAGUUAGUAGAGUCAAAUUAUAUUGCGCCACCAACUUGCCACGUCAGCAGGGAGCAUAAAAAAAUUAAUUUUUUGGUGGAGCCAUGUAAAAUAGCGUCACCUGUAUAAAUACGAUGAAAAUGCUACAAGUUCUAGAAAAAUAGGGGGCUUCAAAGCAAUUUUCCAUUUUCUGGUGGAGCCAACUUAAAUGGCGUCACCACACACCCUUCUUUUACUUUUUUUUUUAAUAAAAAUUUUUAAAAAGGUUUUUAAAAGAAUUUUUAUAAAAAAUUUAUUUAAAAAUUUUAAAUGUUUAAAUAUUAUUAAAAAUAUAUUUAAUAUUUAAAAAUAAUAUUUAAUAUUUUAAAAAAUAAUUUCAAAAAUAUAUAUUUCAAAUUUAAAAGUAUAUUUUUGAAAUUAUUUUAUUUUAUUUUAAAAUAUAUUUUUAAAAAUAUAUUUAAAAUUUAAAAUUUAGAAAAAUUAAUUUCAAAAACAUAUUUUUAAAAUAUAUAAGACAUAUUUUCAAAAAAAUAAUAUUCAAAAUUUUUAAAAAAAUUUAAAAAUAAUAUUUAAAAUUUUAAAAAAUAUAUAUUAUAAAACAUUUCAAAUAUACAUGUCAAAAUUUUUAAAAUUAAUAACAAAAAAUAAAUAAAAUAAAUAAACAAAAUAAAAAAAUAUAAAACUCAAAAAAAGAAAAAAAAUUAAAGAAAAAAGACAAAAGUUAAAUAAAAAAGUACAAAAAAAAAAGUAAAAGAAGGGUGUCAGGUGGUGGCUAAGUUGGCUCCACCAGAAAAUAGAAAAUUAUUUUGAAGUCCUCUAUUUUUUUAGAAUUUGUAGUAUUUUCAUGAUAUUUAUAGAAGUGACGUCAUUUUAAAUGGCUCCACUAAAAAAUUAAUUUUUUAUGCUCCCUGCUGAUGUGGCAAGUUAAUCGCGUCAUAUAAUUUGGCUCCACCAACUUUUAUUGUAGAUUUCAAGUUAUUUUAAUAUUUAAUUAAAAAAGUGGAUCAUUUUAAUAAUUAAUUAAAUUAUUUGAGUUAUUUAAAUAAAAAAAAGAGCCUGUUCUAACACUAAGGUUUUGUUUGAUAGAGAGAAAAGAAGAUUAAAAAGGUGAAAAUUUUAAGGGUUAGAAAAAUAGAAAGAUAGAAAAUAUAUAAAUGGAAAGAAGAAAAAUAAAAUAUAAUUUUGAAUUAAAUUAGUAAGUCUUUCCCUCUAAUUGUUGGUGGAAAUUUUGCUUAUCCAGAGUAGGUGCUGGCUGCGCUCCUAUUUUCUUUUCAAAUCCCUUUAGUCUUCAUAUGUGAAUCCCAAACAUCGUCACUGCUCUCCUCAAACCUUUUGUCGUUUUCAUUAAGUGCAUGUUAUAAAUAACCAAGAACAAAAUCCUUUCCAAUCCAAUAUUUCAAAUCCCUUUAAUCUUCUUGAUCAAUAAAACACCCCACCCAGAUUGUUAGUUUGCAAUCCCAUCAAAUCAUCUAUCAUCAAUUGCCUAACGUUUCCUUUUUGGUUUAUUGCCGUCUCCCAUAAAUCUAAUCUAAGUUGUUUUAAAGAAAUAAAAUGAGCUGGUGGUGGGCUGGUGCUAUCGGAGCUGCUAAGGCAACUCUCUUUUUUCAUUGGCUUGCUGGAUUUCUGUUUACCCUUCACGAAAUUGAUUCUUUUUCUUUGUUUUAAUUUUUGCAGAAGAAAUUUGAGGAAGAUGAAGCACCGAAAAGCCUCAAGAGCGUUGGGCUGAUCAUUGGAGUCACCGGCAUAGUUGGCAAUAGCUUGGCUGAAAUCCUCCCGUUAUCCGACACUCCCGGCGGCCCAUGGAAAGUAUACGGGGUGGCUCGUCGGCCCAGACCCAACUGGAACGUCGACCAUCCAAUCGAGUACAUUCAAUGCGAUGUAUCCGACCCGAAUGAUACCGAAUCGAAGCUCUCUCAACUUACCGACGUCACCCAUAUCUUCUACGUCACCUGGACCAACCGAACAUCCGAAGCCGAGAAUUGUGAGAUCAACGGUUCCAUGCUUCGCAAUGUUUUGCGUUCCGUGAUCCCAAACGCACCCAAUCUCCGCCACAUCUGUCUACAAACAGGAGUCAAACAUUAUCUUGGACCGUUCGAGUUGUUGGGUAAAAUCCAACUGCAUGAGUCGCCUUUCACUGAAGAUUUACCGCGGUUGAAUGCUCCCAAUUUUUACUACCAUCAAGAAGACAUCCUCUUUGAAGAAAUCGAGAAAAAAGAAGGAUUAACCUGGUCGGUGCACCGACCCGCAGUCAUAUUCGGGUUUUCGCCUUACAGUUUAAUGAACCUCGUUGGCAGUCUUUGCGUUUACGCGGCCUUUUGCAAACACGAAGGCAAACCGUUAUACUUUCCUGGGAGCAAAGCCGCUUGGAACUGUUAUUUUGAAGUUUC
rnacentral:lncRNA from 1 species